CCGAGUUUACAAACUCCCAAACCCUGUGAACCAUACCCGUAUCGUUGCCUCGGCGGGACGCCCGGCGCCUCGGGCCGGAACCAGGCGCCAGGAGGACCCAAACCCUCACGUCUUUCGUAGGUUUGUCUCUGAGUUGCUACAUAACAAAUAAAUCA
rnacentral:misc_RNA from 1 species